AGGAUAACAGUUAAUUAUUUGAAGAACUAAAUAAUCAUAUGACUGAUUCUUCUGUAAUGGACAACCAUGUGUUUCACCUUAUAAAAUCACUUGCAUUGGCAUAUUGCAAAAUUCGGUUUCAUCAUCUAGGUAAGGAAUUCAAUCAAACUAUUGCUGGACAAUUGAGACUUGGAUCAACUGGCUGGUAGAGAUUAGUUUCCACCAAUGAUGAAUGUCCAGACAUUCCUCUUAACUGGAAACCUCCCACACAAACAAUUGGAUACUCAUUGGACCAAACAGCGAAAUUUUCUUUUUGCGUUAUCACCAUUAUAUACUUAAUACUCAACACAUUAACUAAGCCACCUAUUCCAUCCUAAAAUUAUUUACUUGCACCAAUUUGUACAUGUGUUUGUUAUAUAACCAUAUUUUUAUUUUGAUAGUAUGAUACUAUAAUGUAAUCAUUAUGUUAUCUGUAAAUGUGCACCUGAAACAGUAUACUGUGUACUUGGUGGAAUUUCUUUUUGGGGGUUUUGUUUUUCCAUCAUGAUCCAAUUUUUAGAUCAAACUUCUUUAAAGCCAACUCCCCCCAUCGCACGGGUCGUUUCUUUACGCAAACUUUGAAUACAUUUGUUUU